rnacentral:rRNA from 1 species
AUGAACGCUAGCGACAGGCCUAACACAUGCAAGUCGAGGGGCAGCGGAGAGGUAGCAAUACCUUUGCCGGCGACCGGCGCACGGGUGAGUAACACGUAUGCAAUCCACCUGUAACAGGGGGAUAACCCGGAGAAAUCCGGACUAAUACCCCAUAAUAUGGGCUCUCCGCAUGGAGGGUCCAUUAAAGAGAGCAAUUUUGGUUACAGACGAGCAUGCGCUCCAUUAGCCAGUUGGCGGGGUAACGGCCCACCAAAGCGACGAUGGAUAGGGGUUCUGAGAGGAAGGUCCCCCACAUUGGAACUGAGACACGGUCCAAACUCCUACGGGAGGCAGCAGUGAGGAAUAUUGGUCAAUGGUCGGCAGACUGAACCAGCCAAGUCGCGUGAGGGAAGACGGCCCUACGGGUUGUAAACCUCUUUUGUCGGAGAGUAAAGUACGCUACGUGUAGCGUAUUGCAAGUAUCCGAAGAAAAAGCAUCGGCUAACUCCGUGCCAGCAGCCGCGGUAAUACGGAGGAUGCGAGCGUUAUCCGGAUUUAUUGGGUUUAAAGGGUGCGUAGGCGGCACGCCAAGUCAGCGGUGAAAUUUUCGGGCUCAACCCGGACUGUGCCGUUGAAACUGGCGAGCUAGAGUGCACAAGAGGCAGGCGGAAUGCGUGGUGUAGCGGUGAAAUGCAUAGAUAUCACGCAGAACCCCGAUUGCGAAGGCAGCCUGCUAGGGUGCGACAGACGCUGAGGCACGAAAGCGUGGGUAUCGAACAGGAUUAGAUACCCUGGUAGUCCACGCAGUAAACGAUGAAUACUAACUGUUUGCGAUACAAUGUAAGCGGUACAGCGAAAGCGUUAAGUAUUCCACCUGGGGAGUACGCCGGCAACGGUGAAACUCAAAGGAAUUGACGGGGGCCCGCACAAGCGGAGGAACAUGUGGUUUAAUUCGAUGAUACGCGAGGAACCUUACCCGGGCUUGAAUUGCAACUGAAUGAUGUGGAGACAUGUCAGCCGCAAGGCAGUUGUGAAGGUGCUGCAUGGUUGUCGUCAGCUCGUGCCGUGAGGUGUCGGCUUAAGUGCCAUAACGAGCGCAACCCCUAUCGACAGUUACUAACGGGUCAAGCCGAGGACUCUGUCGAGACUGCCGGCGCAAGCCGCGAGGAAGGUGGGGAUGACGUCAAAUCAGCACGGCCCUUACGUCCGGGGCGACACACGUGUUACAAUGGCAGGUACAGAAGGCAGCCAGUCAGCAAUGACGCGCGAAUCCCGAAAACCUGUCUCAGUUCGGAUUGGAGUCUGCAACCCGACUCCAUGAAGCUGGAUUCGCUAGUAAUCGCGCAUCAGCCAUGGCGCGGUGAAUACGUUCCCGGGCCUUGUACACACCGCCCGUCAAGCCAUGGAAGCCGGGAGUACCUGAAGCAUGCAACCGCAAGGAGCGUACGAAGGUAAUACCGGUAACUGGGGCU